rfam:Candidatus Margulisbacteria bacterium GWE2_39_32 gwe2_scaffold_764, whole genome shotgun sequence.
UCCAUCGUGAGGUGGAAUCUGAAGGAAGUCGGCGGCAAAGCUCUGGCACAUAUGUUGUGGAC